UUUUACAUUUUUUAAAAAAUAAUAGCUCUGCAGUGUACCGCGGGUUAAAUUCUAGUAUAGUGUAAUUAUGGAGGUAGAAGAGACUUGCAUCCUAAUUUAUAACGAUUUUAGAAUUUGGAUUA
rnacentral:sRNA from 1 species